rfam:Vibrio mangrovi strain CECT 7927 genome assembly, contig: 0001
UAGUUGCCAUAGCUCCGAGUUUGACGGGCUAAGUUCCGGAUGGAAUAGGCUUGUUAAACCUGUGGUCGAUGUUGAUGACCCGAGGGUGGGAUUGGAAAUGAUCUCGCCUCCCGUGUUUGGAAAGGUGUUCCAUGGCUCAAUUU